rnacentral:tRNA from 1 species
GGAAAUGUGCCCGAGACACUAAGGGAUACUUUGAUAGAGUACAUUACAGAGGCUCACCCCCUCUCAUUUCCU